rnacentral:misc_RNA from 1 species
GGUUGGAUCAUUAAAAAACAAAGAAGCUCGGCUUCUUGACUUUAGUCGAAAGACUAUUGUAACAUUUUGUGAAUUAACAUGAAUUUGGGUAUGAAGUUACAUUUAUGCCCAAACUAUAAAACCCCUUAAUAAUAAACUAAAUAAAGAGACAAUGAGAAACAACUUUUGACAACGGAUCUCUUGGCUCUCGCAACGAUGAAGAACGCAGCGAAAUGCGAUACGUAAUGUGAAUUGCAGAACCGUGAAUCAUCUAAUCUUUGAACGCAUAUUGCGCUUCCUGGUAUUCCGGGAAGCAUGCCUGUUUGAGAAUCGAUAAACCAACUCUUUAGCUUGACUGCGAAAGGAAAUGGGCAGUCUUUUUUAAAGUCGCCUUAAAUGUAGCAUCCGCUCUAUUUAAUAAGAGUGUUUUGGAAUGUGCUUACUUGUUACUUGUAACAUUGACUUGCAAACCUAAACAAAGCCAUUAACUAUGACGGACUCAACUUAACAUUAAUUUGACCCUAUACUUUUUAGUAUUUUUUGGUCUCAAAUCAGGCAAGAGUACCCGCUGAACUUAAGCAUAUCAAUAAGCGGAGGAAAAGAAACUAACAAGGAUUCCCCUAGUAACGGCGAGUGAAGCGGGAAGUGCUCAAAUUUGAAAUCUUGCGGGUUACCCGUACGAAUUGUAGUUUAGAGAAGUGUUUUCAAAGGCAAGCCGAGUUCAAGUCUUCUGGAACGAAGCAUCAUAGAGGGUGACAAUCCCGUCUUUGACUCGGUUUUGUUUUUAUGUGAUACACUUUCAAAGAGUCAGGUUGUUUGGGAAUGCAGCCUAAAAUGGGUGGUAAAUACCAUCUAAAGCUAAAUAACGGCGAGAGACCGAUAGCGAACAAGUACCGUGAGGGAAAGAUGAAAAGAACUUUGAAAAGAGAGUUAAACAGUACGUGAAAUUGUCAAAAGGGAAACGUUUGAAACCAGUAUUGGCGGCAUUAAACCGCAUGAACUAAUGUUUGUGUGCUCUUUAUAGUUGCCAAGUCAACAUCAAUUUGACUUGGAGUAAACACCGUAAAAAAGGUAGCCUUCGGGUAUUAUAGUUUUGCGGCAUGCUCUGGGUUGGAUUGAGGACUGCAGUGCAACCUUGGGGGAACCCGUCGCCUUUUGAAGAAUUGUCGUAAACAGCAUGCUGAUUGCGGCAAGACUAAGAGAGUUCGGUUGGUGUACCACUUUUGCGCUUAAGAUGUUGACGAAAUGGUUUUAAGCGACCCGUCUUGAAACACGGACCAAGGAGUCUAACAUAUAUGCGAGUAUUUGGGUGCCAAACCCAUUUGCGUAAUGAAAGUAAUGAGGUGGGAUCUACGGAGCACCAUCGACCGGUCUGGAUAUUUUUUGAUGGAUCUGAGUAAGAGCAUAUCUGUUGGGACCCGAAAGAUGGUGAACUAUGCCUGAAUAGGGUGAAGCCAGAGGAAACUCUGGUGGAGGCUCGUAGCGAUUCUGACGUGCAAAUCGAUCGUCAAAUUUGGGUAUAGGGGCGAAAGACUAAUCGAACCAUCUAGUAGCUGGUUCCCUC